GGCCUCGUAGCUGAACUGCCAGAGCACGCGCGGUACUAAAGCGAGGGUGAUGAUCAUGCGUGGGUUCGAAUCCAGCCGAGGCCA
rnacentral:tRNA from 1 species